rnacentral:rRNA from 1 species
UUUACCUACGGGACGCAGCAGUGAGGAAUAUUGGUCAAUGGACGAGAGUCUGAACCAGCCAAGUAGCGUGAAGGAUGACUGCCCUAUGGGUUGUAAACUUCUUUUAUAUGGGAAUAAAGUGAGCCACGUGUGGCUUUUUGUAUGUACCAUACGAAUAAGGAUCGGCUAACUCCGUGCCAGCAGCCGCGGUAAUACGGAGGAUCCGAGCGUUAUCCGGAUUUAUUGGGUUUAAAGGGAGCGUAGAUGGGUUGUUAAGUCAGUUGUGAAAGUUUGCGGCUCAACCGUAAAAUUGCAAUUGAUACUGG